CGGACGGGUGAGUAAUGUCUGGGAAACUGCCCGAUGGAGGGGGAUAACUACUGGAAACGGUAGCUAAUACCGCAUAACGUCGCAAGACCAAAGAGGGGGACCUUCGGGCCUCUUGCCAUCGGAUGUGCCCAGAUGGGAUUAGCUAGUAGGUGGGGUAACGGCCCACCUAGGCGACGAUCCCUAGCUGGUCUGAGAGGAUGAUCAGCCACACUGGGACUGAGACACGGCCCAG
rnacentral:rRNA from 1 species